rnacentral:rRNA from 1 species
UACAGAGGUCUCGAGCGUUAGGCGGAAUCACUGGCUAAGCGUGUGUAGGUGGAUCGUUAAGUAACCUUGUGAAUCCCACGGCUUAACCGUGGAACUGCUUGGUAUACUGGCGGUCUUGAGCCACUUAGGGCAACGGAACAAAUGGUGGAGCGGUGAAAUGCGUAGAUAUCAAUUGGAACGCCAAUGGUGAAACAGGUUGCUGGGAGU